GGAACAGAUUAUGGCUCAGAAUUGAACGCUGGCAGGAUGCUACAUACAAGUCGAACGCGGCAGCACGGACUUCGGUCUGGUGGCGAGUGGCGAGCGGGUGAGUAAUGUAUCGGAACGUGCCUAGUAGCGGGGAUAACUACGCGAAAGCGUAGCUAAUACCGCAUACGCCCUUCGGAAAGCCCAGGGGACCUUCGGGCCUCGCACUAUUAAGAGCGGCCGAUAUCGGAUUAGCUAGUUGGGUGAGGUAACGGCUCACCAAGGCGACGAUCCGUAGCUGGUUUGAGAGGACGACCAGCACCAGGACUGAGACACGGCCCGACUCACGGGAGAGCAGCAGUGGGAAUUUGGACUGUGGAAACCCUGAUCAGCCAGCCCGCGUAUUGCGAUGAAGGCCUUCGGAGUUUGUAAAGCACUUUUGGCAGGAAAGAAACGGCACGGGAUAUUACCCCGUGCAACUGACGGCUGCAGAAUAAGCACCGGCUAACUACGUGCCAGCAGCUAACGGUAAUACGUAAGUGCAAGCGGUAAUCGGAAUUACUGGGCGUAAAGCGUGCGCAGGCGGUUCGGAAAGAAAGAUGUGAAAUCCAGAGCUUAACCCCGGAACUGCAUUUUUAACUACCGAGCUAGAGUGUCAGAGGAGGUGGAAUUCACGCGUGUAGCAGUGAAAUGCGUAGAUAUGCGGAGGAACACCGAUGGCGAAGGCAGCCUCCUGGGAUAACGCUGACGCUCAUACAGCGUGGGAGCAAACAGGAUUAGAUACCCUGGUAGUCCACGCCUAAACGAUGUCAACUAGCUGUUGGGGCCUUCGGGCCUUGGUAGCGCAGCUAACGCGCGUGAAGUUGACCGCCUGGGGAGUACGGUCGCAAGAUUAAAACUCAAAGGUGUGACGGGGACCCGCACCAAGCGGUGGAUGAUGUGGAUUAAUUCGAUGCAACGCGAAAAACCUUACCUACCCUUGACAUGUCUGGAAUCCCGAAGAUUUGGGAGUGCUCGCAAGAGAACCGGAACACGGUGCUGCAUGGCUGUCGUCAGCUCGUGUCGUGAGAUGUUGGGUUAAGUCCCGCAACGAGCGCAACCCUUGUCGUGGAUUGCUACGAAGAAAGGGCCUCUAAUGGAACUGCCAGUGACAAACCGGAGGAAGGUGGGGAUGACGUCAGUCCUCAUGGCCCUUAUGGGUAGGGCUUCACACGUCAUACAAUGGUCGGGACAGAGGGUCGCCAACCCGCGAGGGAACCAAUCAGAAACCAGUCGUAGUCCAGAUCGCAGUCUACGCUCGACUGCGUGAAGUCAGAAUCGCUAGUAAUCGCGGAUCAGCAUGUCGCGGUGAAUACGUUCCCGGGUCUUAUGCACACCGCCCGUCACACCAUAGGUAAGUUUACCAAGUAGUUAGCCUAACCAUCAAGGAGGCGGUGCCAAAUAGGAUUCAUGACUGGGGUGAAGUCGUAACAAGGUAA
rnacentral:rRNA from 1 species